rnacentral:lncRNA from 1 species
GGUUAAGCUCACGUAUUUGCUUCUUUGUAUUUUCUCUUUGAUUAACAGGAGUCACUUCCAUCAAUUAUUUUCUGCACAGAAAUGUUAAUAUCUAAACACGGGGAAGAACUGGAAUCCUGUGCUCUGUAGGGCAGCACAUCAGCAUAUCACCUUGUUGGGAGCACAGCUGCAGGGAGAUGAUGUUCUUUCACCACAUUGCUCUUUGGUGGGUGCAAGACUGAUGCUGCUCAGAUACAAGAUGAAUAAACAGCAUGUGACAGCUAUAUAAAACUGGAAAAGUUUCUCUUCUGAGAAUUGGGACAGUAAAAAAGGUGAUAUUCACUGGGAGCAGAAGAUUGAUAAUGGUAAGCAAGUGCUUUUAACAGAUAUGGGCUAACGUGGCAGAGAUUUUCAUUGGCAU